CCUACGGGAGGCUGCAGUGGGGAAUAUUGCACAAUGGGGGAAACCCUGAUGCAGCGACGCCGCGUGAGUGAAGAAGGAAUUCGUUAUGUAAAGCUCUAUCAGCAGGGAAGAAAAUGACGGUACGUGAGGAAGAAGCCCUGGCUAACAACGUGCCAGCAGCCGCGGGAAUACGUAGGGGGCAAGCGUUAUCCGGAUUUACUGGGUGUAAGGGGAGGGUAGACGGGAGUGCAAGUCUGGAGUGAAAGGCGGGGGCUCAACCCCCGGACUGCUCUUGAAACUGGAUGGCUGGAGUGCAGUUGAGGUAAGUGGAAUUCCUAGUGUAGCGGUGAAAUGCGUAGAUAUUACGAGGAACACCAGUUGCGAAGGCAGCUUACUGAACUGUAACUGACGUUGAGGCUCGAAAGCGUGGGGAGCAAACAGGAUUAGAUACCCUUGUAGUC
rnacentral:rRNA from 1 species